rnacentral:rRNA from 1 species
AGCUCCAAUCGCGGAUAUUAAAGUUGUUGCGGCUAACAAGCUCGUAGUUGGAUUUCUGCCGAGGACGACCGGUCCGCCCUGCGGGUGAGUAUCUGGGACGACCUGGGCACCUUAUUGGAGAACGUGUCUGCACUUGAUUGUGUGGUGCGGUAUCCAGGAGUUUUACUUUGAGGGAAUUAGAGUGUUUCAAGCAGGCCCACGCCUUGAAUACAUUAGCAUGGGAUAAUAAGAUAGGACCUCGGUUCUACUUUGUUGGUUUCUAGAGCUGAUCUAAUGCUCAAUAGGGAUAGUUUGGGGCGUUUCUAUUUAACUGUCAGAGGUGAAAUUCUUCGAUUUGUUAAAGACGGACUACUGCGAAAGCAUUUGCCAAGGAUGUUUGCA